AGAAGAAAAAGGAAAAGAAGAAGAAGAAGCAAAAACAGGUCGGUGGCAUGUUGGAACUCUUUUCCCCUAUCAAGUGUCUUCUUCAGGAGGAACGAAUUCGGAUCGACAACGUUGUGUUCAGGUUACAUUCACGCGCAACGGUUCUCCUAUUUCUCGUCUGUGCUACGCUCGUAACCGCUAAACAGUUCAUAGGCGAACCAAUUAGCUGCAUCUCCGAUCACAGCAUAGACAGAACGACGUUAAACGCAUACUGCUGGAUAUAUAGUACCUUCACAGUGGCACGUCACUUAAAGGGAAUACCAGGUCGAACUGUGGCAAGUCCAGGAAUAGGAAAUGCAUCUCAGGACGACGAAUUAUACUAUCAUCGUUAUUACCAGUGGGUUUGCUUUAUUCUCGGCUUACAAGCGAUUCUCUUUUACGUGCCGCGAGCGUUAUGGGGAAUAUGGGAAAGGGAUACCGUCGCUUUGCUCGCGAGGGACCUUUCCACUUCGUUUCUGGAUCGAGAUGCUUGGACCGAGAAUAGAAAGCGUCAACUAGUCGACUAUUUUAUUGAAGGUGAUCUUCGAAUGACGCACAAUUUCUACGCUCUUCGUUAUUUCCUCUGCGAAGUUUUUAAUUUUCUCAAUACGAUAGGACAAUUAUAUCUAUUGGAUCUAUUCUUCGAGGGUGAAUUUAGACAUUACGGAGUCGCAGUUUUAGCAUUUUCCAAGGAAAAACAAUACUCCGAUAAGAUAGAUCCAAUGACCCGACUCUUUCCCAAGGUCACCAAGUGCACGAUGCACACCUUCGGCUCAGCCGGCUCGACCCAAAUUCACGACGCUCUUUGCGUUCUCUCGUUGAACGUGAUGAACGAAAAGGUCUUCUUCUUUAUUUGGUUCUGGCUGAUAUUUCUAACGAUUCUCGGCUUUUUUGCUCUCUUUUACAGGAUCAUUGUUUUCUCUCAAGCGAGGGUAAGAGUCUAUCUUUUGCGAGCUUCGAUGAGGACCCUUGCGCAUGCCAAAGCAAAUACCAUAGUUCGAGUGCUUACUUUUGGCGAUUGCUUUCUCCUCCAUCGACUCGCACAGAACGUGAGCCCGAUCAUAUACAGGGAACUAAUCGACGAGUUGGCAAUCAGCCUAUCGACGAAGCAUUUCAAAGGAUUAGUCUAAUUCUACGAAUUUAUCUAUUUAAUCGAUUUAAUAUACAAGUAUAUAUGUGUGUGUGUGUGUAUGUAUGUAUGUAGAUAUAUAUCAUUCGAUCGAAAAAGAUCAUUUGAAUCGUUUAAAACAAAAUCGAUUCUCGAUGAUAAGAGAACUUCAAUUUUUAGAUAACGUUUCUAUAUAUCUCUUCGUACUAAGAAUUAUUAACGAGUAUUCCGAUAAAUUAUUUAAAAAUAUUUUAUUGAUUCUCCUAAUUUUAUCUCAUUGGAUUUUUCAAUCUAAAUGCGCGCAUUAAAAGUUACGUAGAAUUGACUUAUCGUUCGUACUUAUGUAUACAGUAUGUAUGUAUACGAUUUAUAUAUUUACAUUCGAUUAUUUUUCUGAAUAGUAAAUACACGAAAAAAUUUUUUUACACGAAUGUUACAUGUUACAUGUCAAAAGAGAGAAAAAAGUGAAGGAGGGCGGACGUCGCGUUUACAUUUUUAAAUAAAACCCAAUAUCCCUUAUUAAACAUUCUUGUAACUGACAUUAAACUAAUUUCAAAAUGCUUCGUACACAUAUAUUUUGCAUACCUACACAGUUCAGAAGCACACAAAGCGCUGUAUACAUCGGAUAACUGCUGUUAAGGGACUCACAAAAUUUAAUACUUAAUAACUCAACGAUGGCUUAUGUCCAUGCAAAACAAUAAAUGUGCUGGUCAAAGCAUUUUCAAAAUCAAUACUGAGAUAUCAGCUUCAAGAAUACAUAAUAUUGGAUUAUAUUCAAAAACGUGACUUUUAAACGAAAGCUCUCUAAGCUCUUUAAAUCGCAAAAUUAAAUAAUUAUCUGUGUCUCCGUUGACGCGAUACAACGCUCAUCUGUAACACUUUUUUGCAUUUUUAAUAUUUACGGCAAAUUGUUGCGGGUAUAUAUUAUAUUUAAAUCGGAUAUAUUCUGUAUGUAUAUAUAUAUAUAUAUAUAU